GAGGGGGUCGCGGCUGAUUAGCUAGUUGGCGGGGUAACGGCCCACCAAGGCGAAGAUCGGUAGCCGGCCUGAGAGGGCGCACGGCCACACUGGAACUGAAACACGGUCCAGACUCCUACGGGAGGCAGCAGUGGGGAAUUUUGCGCAAUGGGGGAAACCCUGACGCAGCAACGCCGCGUGGAGGAUGAAGCCCCUUGGGGCGUAAACUCCUUUCGACCAAGACGAUAAUGACGGUACUGGUGGAAGAAGCACCGGCUAACUCUGUGCCAGCAGCCGCGGUAAUACAGAGGGUGCGAGCGUUGUUCGGAAUUAUUGGGCGUAAAGGGUGCGUAGGCGGUGCCACAAGUCACUUGUGAAAUCCCCAGGCUUAACCUGGGGCCUGCAGGCGAAACUGUGGUGCUGGAGUAUGGGAGAGGUGCGUGGAAUUCCCGGUGUAGCGGUGAAAUGCGUAGAUAUCGGGAGG
rnacentral:rRNA from 1 species